rnacentral:rRNA from 1 species
GACGAACGCUGGCGGCGUGCUUAACACAUGCAAGUCGAACGAUGAACCCGGAGCUUGCUCCGGUGGAUUAGCGGCGAACGGGUGAGUAACACGUGAGUAACCUGCCCUUGACUCUGGGAUAACUGCGGGAAACUGUAGCUAAUACCGGAUACGACCCUCGGCGGCAUCGCCAGGGGGUGGAAAGAAUUUCGGUAAAGGAUGGACUCGCGGCCUAUCAGCUAGUUGGUGAGGUAACGGCUCACCAAGGCGACGACGGGUAGCCGGCCUGAGAGGGUGACCGGCCACACUGGGACUGAGACACGGCCCAGACCCCUACGGGAGGCAGCAGUGGGGAAUAUUGCACAAUGGGCGCAAGCCUGAUGCAGCAACGCCGCGUGAGGGAUGACGGCCUUCGGGUUGUAACCCUCUUUUAGUAGGGAAGAAGCGAAAGUGACGGUACCUGCAGAAAAAGCACCGGCUAACUACGUGCCAGCCGCCGCGGUAA